AAAAGGGUGGCCUCAACAGUCACCAGAGUGCACACUGGUGCAAAGCCCUAUGUGUGUGGUGAUUGUGGGAAGUCAUUCAGUCAAAAGUGUAGCCUCAACAGUCACCAGAGAGUGCACACUGGUUCAAAGCCAUAUGUGUGUGGUGAAUGUGGGGAAUCAUUUUGCUCCAGUCACCAUCUCCUUAACCAUAAGAGAAUUCACACUGGAGAAAAGCCAUUAUCAGGUGGUGAUUGUGGGAACUCCUUCAGCCAAAGCUCCAUGCUCAGGGGCCACAACAGAACCCUGUUAUUAGAUACCUGUCUGUUUGUCUUUCAGCCCUGCCUUUUAUUUCCUCUACAAUCAGGCAGUUCACCUGGAGUCUCUGAGCCUGGUUUCCUCCCCAGGAAACAGAUGGGUAAGCCAUGUCGGGUUGCGGAGAGGAUUAAAUGAUAUAAUUCUUGUGAAGCAUUGAAUCCAGGGCCUGACAGGUGUAGUAACAUUGAGUAACUUAGCUCCAUAGCUUCACGAUGUGUGCUGACUGCAGAUAUGCAGACAUUGUACGAAAUGUUGACUUGUUGGUGUUUGUAUCUUCUCAAAUUUUGUUGUUAAAUGAAUAGGAUAGGGUUGUGUAUGUUGUCUCAUAGCCGGCUGUUUCUUGUAAAAAUGUGAAAUUUGUAAGUUAGAAAUAAAAGCUCUGACAGCUGGA